CCCGGCACAAGCGGUGGAGCAUGUGGUUUAAUUCGAUGAUACGCGAGGAACCUUACCUGGGCUCAAAUGUAUGUUGACGUAUUCUGAAAGGGAUACUUCUUCGGACAAUAUACAAGGUGCUGCAUGGUUGUCGUCAGCUCGUGCCGUGAGGUGUCGGGUUAAGUCCCAUAACGAGCGCAACCCCUAUCAUUAGUUGCCAUCAGGUCAAGCUGGGGACUCUAAUGAAACUGCCUACGCAAGUAGUGAGGAAGGUGGGGAUGACGUCAAAUCAGCACGGCCCUUACGUCCAGGGCUACACACGUGCUACAAUGGCCGGUACAAAGGGCAGCUACCUGGUGACAGGAUGCUAAUCUCAAAAGCCGGUCUCAGUUCGGAUCGGAGUCUGCAACCCGACUCCGUGAAGUUGGAUUCGCUAGUAAUCGCGCAUCAGCCAUGGCGCGGUGAAUACGUUCCCGGGCCUU
rnacentral:rRNA from 1 species